UACGUAGGGUGCAAGCGUUGUCCGGAAUUAUUGGGCGUAAAGAGCUCGUAGGCGGUCUGUCGCGUCUGCUGUGAAAACUCAGGGCUUAACCCUGAGCUUGCAGUGGGUACGGGCAGACUAGAGUGCGGUAGGGGAGACUGGAAUUCCGUGGUGUAGCGGCGAAAUGCGCAGAUAUCAGGAGGAACACCGGUGGGCGAAGGCGGGGUCUCUGGGCCGUAACUGACGCUGGAGG
rnacentral:rRNA from 1 species